rnacentral:rRNA from 1 species
AGAGUUUGAUCAUGGCUCAGGACGAACGCUGGCGGUGUGCUUAACACAUGCAAGUCGAGCGGUGAACCACCUUCGGGUGGGGAUCAGCGGCGAACGGGUGAGUAACACGUGGGCAACCUGCCCCGAGCACUGGGAUAACAGUGGGAAACCGCUGCUAAUACCGGAUACGACUACCGACCGCAUGGUCUGGUGGUGGAAAGGAUUCCGGCUCGGGAUGGGCCCGCGGCCUAUCAGCUAGUUGGUGGGGUAAUGGCCUACCAAGGCGACGACGGGUAGCCGGCCUGAGAGGGCGACCGGCCACACUGGGACUGAGACACGGCCCAGACUCCUACGGGAGGCAGCAGUGGGGAAUAUUGCGCAAUGGGCGAAAGCCUGACGCAGCAACACCGCGUGAGGGACGACGGCCUUCGGGUUGUAAACCUCUUUCAGCUCCGACGAAGCGAGAGUGACGGUAGGAGCAGAAGAAGCACCGGCUAACUACGUGCCAGCAGCCGCGGUAAUACGUAGGGUGCAAGCGUUGUCCGGAAUUAUUGGGCGUAAAGAGCUCGUAGGCGGUCCGUUACGUCUGCCGUGAAAACCCGGGGCUCAACCCCGGGCCUGCGGUGGAUACGGGCGGACUAGAGUCCGGUAGGGGAGACUGGAAUUCCUGGUGUAGCGGUGGAAUGCGCAGAUAUCAGGAGGAACACCGGUGGCGAAGGCGGGUCUCUGGGCCGGAACUGACGCUGAGGAGCGAAAGCGUGGGGAGCGAACAGGAUUAGAUACCCUGGUAGUCCACGCCGUAAACGGUGGGCGCUAGGUGUGGGGAUCGUUUCCACGAUCUCCGUGCCGCAGCUAACGCAUUAAGCGCCCCGCCUGGGGAGUACGGCCGCAAGGCUAAAACUUAAAGGAAUUGACGG